CAAGCGGGUUCUUUACCACUGAGCCAUCAGGGAAACCCCUAUCGCUGACAUACAAUGACUGAUACAACAUUGUAUCAAUCAAAGGUGUACAGCACCAUUAUUAAUUCAUAUAGAGCAUGAAAUGACUAACAUAAAUUUAGUGGUGAAAAUCUGUCACCAUAUGGAUAAAAGUAGAAGAGAAAAAAGUAUAUUCCUUCCUUGUAAUGAGAAUUCUUUGGAUUUACUCUCUUAACAACUUUCCUAUAUAUCUUUCUGACCCAGGGAUCAAACCCUUGUCUCUUGUGUCUCCUGCAUUGGCAGGAGGAUUCUUUACCACUGGCCCUACCUGGGAAGCCCAGUAUAACAGAUAGUAGUGUUAAUUAAGUUUUCAGCUCAGUUCAGUUCAGUCGCUCAGUCGUGUCCAACUCUUUGUGACCCCAUGAAUCGCAGCACGCCAGGCCUCCCUGUCCAUCACCAACUCCCGGAGUUCACCCAAACUCACAUCCAUCAAGUCAGUGAUGCCAUCCAGCCAUCUCAUCCUCUGUCGUCCCCUUCUCCUCCUGCCCCCAAUCCCUCCCAGCAUCAGGGUCUUUUCCAAUGAGUCAACCCUUCUCAUGAGGUGGCCAAAGUACUGGAGUUUCAGCCUCAGCGUCAGUCUUUAGUUUUCUGUAAAUAGGGGUCUUUUUUGCAUCCCUUCUAACCCCAAAGCUCUGGCCACACUGUCCUUGGAGCAGACAGGAUAAGCAUCCUCACACAGUGUGACGACACCGAGGUCCACAUUUGCCGUUCCUGAUGACAUGCAGGGCGUUCAUGGAAUGUGUGGUCAUCAGACCCAGGCCACGGCGUUCUGCUUCAUCAGCUCUAAUUUGUAGUCAUUUUACCAACCAACACCUUUUCUUUUCUCACUUUAUUAGUUUUCCCAGACUGAACCCGUAAUCAGAAGCGACGGGCUUUUCCUGCGCCCCUGUGUCCUUGGAGGACGCUCCCGUGUGUCUGUCUCCGCUCUCAUCUCACGCUCCCCCCACACCCCUCAGUCUGCCUGUGCUGAGCUCUCCCGCUCCCUUCCUGCGGCUGCCCUCCUCAGAGGAAGCCGGUGGAUGCCCUCCUCAGAGGAAGCUGGUGGAUGCCCUCCUCAGAGGAAGCCGGAGAUGCUGCAAAGUGUUCUGCAAGGACGAAAGUGAACAGAAGCGUUGGGGAGCGGCCGCAGGGUCUCCCCCGUCUCUCUGAGGAGGUGGCUCCUGUGGUGAUGCCAGCAGCAGCUCGUCAACCUCUUCCGUCUUGGUUGGCCUGAUGCCAUAUCUCGGCGCUGAUCUUGAGCGCUGCCCUGACCCCGAUGUGCUUCUCCUCUCAUGUCCGCGGUCACACACUGACCUUCACACAUGCAGCCAAGGGGGCAGACUCGGUCGCCCGCCCUCCGGGCACCGCCUCCUGUCGCCACCCUUCCCUGUGUCAGAACUAAGACUCCCUCAGGCCAGCCCCGCUCCACCCUGCCCUGCCGUCUGAGGAGCUCCCGAGCAGUGUGUUCACUACACAAGGUGUGUGACGUGAGCUGGGGAUCUGGAAGGUGGAGGAGAGCAACCCCGGCUCGUGCUGGCCCUAAGCCUUCUUCUAGAAGCCGUGUGUUUCUCUGAUUGU
ensembl:lncRNA